rnacentral:rRNA from 1 species
AUUGAACGCUGGCGGCAGGCCUAACACAUGCAAGUCGAGCGAGCGGCGGACGGGUGAGUAAUGUAUGGGGACGGCCCGAUAGAGGGGGAUAACUACUGGGAACGGUGGCUAAUACCGCAUACUAUCGGAUAACCCAUAUGGGAUUAGAUAGGCGGUGGGGUAAAGGCUCACCUAGGCGACGAUCUCUAGCUGGUCUGAGAGGAUGAUAGUGCACACUGGGAUUGAAACACGGCACAGACUACUACGGAGGAAGCAGUGGGGAAUAUUGCACAAGGGGCGCAAGCCGUAUGCAUCCAUGCCGCGUGUAUGAAGAGGGCCUUAGGUUUGUAAAGUACUGUCAGCGGGGAGGCGUUACCCGCAGAAGAAGCACCGGCUAACUCCGUGCCAGCAGCCGCGGUAAUUC